UGUGAUUGGAAAUGUGAGGAGAAACCCCUAAAUCCCCGAGGUCCUCAGGAGUGAAGGGCCCAUACUAGAACUCUCCCCAGGCCUGUGGGCUGCUGGGUGGGGGACUCUGGGCUUCCCAACCUGGCCAUCCCCACUGGGCGCACAGAGGCCCCCUCCUGGAGAGGAUCAGGCAGCGAAAGCUACGGAGUGACCACAAGUUUGGGAGGGCAGGACCUCGAGGAGGCAGGAUGGGACCAGGUGGCUCUGAGGGACCAUGGAGCUCCAGACACCUCUCCUGAGCUAGGAGCAGGUGUGGCACCCUGGGUCAGUGCACUUGAACCCAAGGUUCCCCUCCAGUACCUCCUGGCCAACUCCCCUUUCAGGACCCCAACAUGGGGGGAGAGCCCCUGCCCGCCCUUACUUGGUCCCUUUUGAGGCUCCCCGAGGUGCCACUUCCAGAUUAAUCUCCUGAGCUCCUUCUGAGUCACUUAUUGUCUGCGUGACUCUGGGCCACAGGCCUGGGCUCCAACUUCAGAGGGUGGUUGUGAGUUUAAGAUGGGUCACACAAGAAGCAGGCGCUCAGGAAAUGGCGAAGAAAGAAGAAAUUAUUGGGACACGGAAGCCCUCGGGCCACCUGUUGACCUCUCCCCUCCUCAGCCCUGAGCGGGGCGCUGAGCCCAGGCAAGCUCCCAGCAGGCUCGCCGGCCCCACCCCCACGCUGCAACCGCUCCUCCUCCGCAGGCGCCUGGGCUGGGCCAGAGCUCCCAACCGGAGGCCCGCCAGCGGGUUCUCUCUUUAAGUUUGAACUGAGAAAACCAGGUUGGGCCUAACAGUCUUUCUCUGGGGGAAAGGACCCUUCUCCCUCGGUGUGCAGACUCUGAUGGAGCUGACUCCAUCCUGGACGCUCUUGGGGGUGGCUCGGGUGGCUCAGCCUGACCAAUCAGAGCACUGCCCUCCCCUGGCCCUAGAGAUGGACCAAUGAGACUGGAUCGGACUUCCCCGGGCUUUUGAAACAAGGACGUUAAAAAUGAACCCAACCCACAAAAGAGAGACAGAUACCCGGUCUCGGGGCAUCCUCUUCCGCAUCUAGCCACGCCUCUGUGCCUUCCAGCUAUCCGAGCUGAAAACGUACCUUUUGGCCUAUUCCAGUCCUGACUAGGUUUUCUUCCAGAUCCUGACUCAUGCCGCCCCUUCCUUUGAGCAGAACAAUAAUAUACAACAUCCAGAGAUGCCACGGGCCUGCUACCCGAGAUAUUUACUAAGAUGGAAAUCAGCGAAGCAACACCUUUCCGAGAAGCCGUGUCGAAACACUCUCCACCCUUUUCAGGUCCAGACGUACAUCGACAUGAUUUCUUAAUGUCAUCUUCGCCUCCUACGCUCUCGGUAGGAGGAGUCAAAAUUGAGAAUCUGCGGUCAAGAAUCGCAAACCACCCUGGUCAGGGAGCUCAGCAGUUAGAGCACCACCCGAUACACCCAGGUUGGGGGUUCGAUCUCCGGCGAGAGGACAUAGAAGAAUCAACCGAUGAAUGAAUAAAUCGGUGGAACAACAAAUUGAUGUCUCUCUCUCACUCUCAAAUCAAUAAAAUAAAAA